GAUGAACGCUGGCGGCGUGCUUAACACAUGCCAGUCGAACGGAAAGGCCCAAGCUUGCUUGGGUGCUCGAGUGGCGAACGGGUGAGUAACACGUGGGUGAUCUGCCCUGCACUUCGGGAUAAGCCUUGGAAACUGGGUCUAAUACCGGAUAGGACCACUUCUUGGAUGUUGUGGUGGAGAGAUUUUUCGGUGUGGGAUGAGCUCGCGGCCUAUCAGCUUGUUGGUGGGGGAAUGGCCUACCAAGGCGUCGACGGGUAGCCGGCCUGAGAGGGUGUACGGCCACAUUGGGGCUGAGGAACGGCCCAGACUCCCACGGGAGGCAAGAGUGGGGAAUAUUGGACAAGGGGGGCAAGCCUGAUGCAGCGACGCCGGGGGGGGGAAGACGGGCUUCGGGUUGUAAACUCCUUUCGCUAUGGACGAAGCGUUUUGUGACGGUACCUGGAGAAGAAGCACCGGCUAACUACGUG
rnacentral:rRNA from 1 species